AGCCCUAAGUGGGUGGUAAACUCCAUCUAAGGCUAAAUAUGACCACGAGACCGAUAGCGAACAAGUACCGUGAGGGAAAGUUGAAAAGCACUUUGAAGAGAGAGUUCAAGAGUACGUGAAACCGUUUAGGGGUAAACCUGAGAAACCCGAAAGGUCGAAGGAAGAAAUUCAUUCGCGUUUCGUCGCAGGCGACGAGCGGGAUCGUGUGACGGGAAGCGUUCGCGUUUCCCGCGCCUCCCGUUUGUUCGAACCGGUGACGAACGCGUGCACUUUUCUUCUGGUAGGACGUCGCGAUCCGUUGGGUGUCGGUCUACGGCUCGCGGUGGAGCCCGUUCGUCGUAUUUCUUAUACGUGUACGGACGGACCCGCGUGUCCCGGCUGACUCGCCCGACGGUAUACGAAAGGUUUAAGGCCGCUCUAGAAGCGUUCGGCUCGUGGCAAGCGCGCCAGACUUGUCGGCGAUCGGACCUAGUGCCGAUUCUGACAUCUGGUGACUGUUGGCCGCGAAGUUCUCGAACAGACCUUUGAAAACCGAUCUGCGACGCUAUAGCUUUGGGUACUUUCAG
rnacentral:rRNA from 1 species